CAGCCGUAAACUAUGCUCGCUAGGUGUCAGGCAUGGCGCGACCGUGUCUGGUGCCGCAGGGAAGCCGUGAAGCGAGCCACCUGGGAAGUACGGCCGCAAGGCUGAAACUUAAAGGAAUUGGCGGGGGAGCACAACAACGGGUGGAGCCUGCGGUUUAAUUGGACUCAACGCCGGGAAGCUCACCGGAUAAGACAGCGGAAUGAUUGCCGGGCUGAAGACUCUGCAUGACUAGCUGAGAGGAGGUGCAUGGC
rnacentral:rRNA from 1 species